rnacentral:rRNA from 1 species
UACGUAGGGUGCGAGCGUUGUCCGGAAUUAUUGGGCGUAAAGGGCUCGUAGGCGGUUUGUCGCGUCGGGAGUGAAAACUCAGGGCUUAACCCUGGAGCCUGCUUCCGAUACGGGGCAGGACUAGAGGUAUGCAGGGGGAGAACGGAAUUCCUGGUGUAGCGGUGAAAUGCGCAGAUAUCAGGAGGAACACCGGUGGCGAAGGCGGUUCUCUGGGCAUUACCUGACGCUGAGGAGCGAAAGUGUGGGGAGGCGAACAGG